rnacentral:SRP_RNA from 1 species
GCCAGGCAUGGUGGCUCAUGCCUGUAAUCCCAGCACUUUGGGAGGCUGAGGCGGGUGGAUCACCUGAGGUCAGGAGUUCGAGACCAGCCUGGCCAACAUGGUGAAACCCUGUCUCUA